AAAAUACAAAAAAAUAACUGGGCGUGGUGGUGGGCGCCUGUAGUCCCAGCUACUCGGGAGGCUGAGGUGGAAGAAUGGCAUGAACCUGGGAGGUGGAGCUUGCAGUGAGCCAAGAUCGUGCCACUGCACUCCAGCCUGGAUGACAGAGCGAGACUCCGUCUCAAAAAAAGAAAAAAUUAAUAGUAUCAUAACUAUAUCCCACAUCUUUAUGAAAUAAGCUGGUUUCCCUCAGAGCCACCAGUGCUGCUGUGUCAUAAAAUCUGAUAGAUACUGCCCUUAUCAUUAUUUCUGAAAACACCACAAACUUAUUUCAGUUAUACAAUCUAUGUGACUUGUGUUUUUAUCUCAAGGGUAAUCUCCCUUACUUAAAAUCUGACACAUUUUUAAUUAAUUUAUUUGUUUCUACAUUCAUUCAAAACAUACCAAGAUUUUUAUAUUGCCAGGUUCUUUAUAAAUGCUGCAAAUAUGACAUGAAUAGAGUAAAGAGGUCCUUUGCCUCAUGAGAUGAUAAAUCUAUUUUCUAGAAAUGACAAAUUUUUAACAAGUAAUUCUAUGUGUGAUAAAUGCAAUAACCAAGAGUGCUCUAAGUGCUUUGCAAGCAAAAGUUAAGAAGUCAAAUUUGGUCUUGAAUUUUAUAUUGAGGAUAUUUAUUCCUAUUUAAUUAGAUAAGGAACACUGAAGAAAGAAGAGGUUGCCUUAAAGAUAGCAGUCAGGAUUGGCUACCUAAGAGGGCCAGUAGAAGAUAAAAAUCAGAGCUCCUUAUACAAAAAUUAUUAUGAAUUUUAAGACUGCAAUAGCAGAUCAUUAAACCAAGUGUGUGAUCCCCAAAACGUGAGGUCCUGUGCGACUGCACAUGUCACAUGCCAUGAAGUCAGCCCUCACGCCUAUGAAGCAUCCAGGAAUAUAUGUCAAGCAGGCAGUAGAGUAUACCAGUCUGGAGCUCAAGAGAAAUAUUUUGUUAUAGACAUUUGCAAGUUGUGACAGAUUAAAGAUAGCCAUAAAUUGUCACUCUAAAAAAUCAAGAAAUGGAGUUUAUUUAUCUUCCUCCUUGAAUGUUAGCUGGCCCUAUGAUGGUUUAAUCAAUACAGUGAUGUAAAAGUGAUGUUGUGGUAGUUCUAGGCCCAGCCUUUAAAAGCACUGCUGCUUCUCUCUUGAAAUGCUCACACUUGGGACACUUUCCUCCAGAACCCAGAGGCUAAAUGGAUGUUCACUUUUAGAUGACAGCCCCAGCUGUCCCAGCGAAUAGGCAGCAUCAAGUAUCAGCCAUUUGAGUGAACCAUUUAGAUGUUCCAGUGCAAUUGAGCAGAAGAACCACCCAGCUGAACCUAGUCAAUCCACAGAACCAUGAGAGAUAAUGAAAUGGUUGUUGUUUUAGGCCAUGAAUUUUGCAGUAAUACACAGCAAUAAUAACCAAAACAGAAAUUAGUGAGGUGCUGAAACAACAAAAAGCUAAAACAUUUGGCAUUGGCUUUGGACCUAGAAAGCAGAUAGAAGGUAGUCCAAAGCAGACUGCUAGUGAAAAAUGGAAUGAUAGGGAGAAAAAUGUUUUUGAUGCUGGAAAGGAGGAAGAGGGCUUAUGUUUUUUGUGGACACAAAAAACAGAAAAUAAAGCAAAUGAAAAUUUUUUUUAUUUUAUUGAGCAGCAGAAUAGUGAAAGUGCCAACUGUUUUUCCUGAAUAAAAUAAGGUAUAUGUAGAGAGAGGAACUUAAAAAAAUAGCUUUCAAACAGGAUCUAGAGGGAGUAUUUCUUAACCAAGACUUGUUGGGAAUUUUUCUUAUUCCCAGUCUCCCUCAACAAAAGUCUCUCAAAGUAAGAAAUUACUUUAGGACAAAGAUCAAAUCCAAGGCACUGUCAGUAAAUGUGCAGUUUCAAAGUCAAGAUCUCAGAUAUGUGGCUAUAAGAACUUUUUGUUAAAAACUCAGAAGGAUUUGACAUUUGUAAAAAACUCAGGUGUGCCUCUUUGAAACUUUCUUCUAGACAAUGAGGCUUCUAUAACUCUCUGUUCAAAGUAGGGAAAGGCCUUUUAUAAAGAAACUUUGGUGUCGCUUUUGUCCAGGAAAAUGGCUUAUAUUUUUAUACUCAGGAAAACCACAAAGUAUCUAUAGGAAGUGUACCAAUUUGUACUAAACAAACAAAGAAAAACAGUGACAGUUCAAAAAUUAAGAGAUCUUUGAGACACUCAAUUUUCAACAAAAAGAACACAGCCUGAGAAAGUCACUCAGCUACACAUGUGGGCUGUUUCUUAGGGAAAAGAGAGACAUAUGGAAGAGCCAGAAGCCCAGAGGAAAAAGCUAAGAGGCAGAGAGAAUCAACCCAAGAAAGCUGGAGGAAACCCUAACCAAGGAACCCACAUCUGCUCACCUAAAUUUCAGGAUGUUUAUGAACCAGUGGCUGCUAUUUGCCACUGUACUUUUGGAAUGCGUGUCUAUCAAAUUCUAUUGUCCUUGUCUCACUAUUACAUACUGAGUUUGUGGGGGCCAGAUAACUUGUUUUCUAGUUCAUAGCUCUUCAUCUCAAGAGUAGCCUGAGGUGCCUUAUUCACACCUGGAUCUGAUUUAGAUAAUGGAAUGCUGAACAUUGAACCUAAUUCAGUCACAAAUUGAGACUUUGAGGGUCAUGGGGAAUGGUCAGGGUAUUUUGCAUGUAGAAUGAAUUUAAAUAAUUUAUGACUGAGGGAUCACUGUUGUGGGCUAAAAAUGACCAAACACGUUUUAUUACUCUUUCCAUCAACAUGUGGCAUUUAUUUUCAUUCCCUCUUGAAUCUGGGUUGGCCCUGUGACAGCUUAAAUAGAAUGUGGUGGAAGUGAUGAUAUACCAGUUACAGACACACUUUUUAAGAGGAUUGCAGCAUCCAGGUCCCCCUCUAAGGUUUCUCAUUCUUGGAACAAUUCUUGGAACUCACCCAUCAUACUGUGAGAAACCCAAGCCACAUGUAUAGGACACAUGUUGAUGAUCCAAUUGACAGUCUCAAGCGAACUCUUUGCCAAUAACCAGCAUCAAAUGCUGCCAGGUAAAUGGGAAAUCUUGGCUGUCCCAGCACAAUUGAGCCCAUAGAUGAUGCAGCCAAAUCCAAUUUAUAAGAAACAAGCAACCCCAUUUAGUCCAGUCAACACUAAAAAUAGCGUGAAAUAAUGAAAUAGUUAAGCCAGUAACUUUUGGAGUGGUUUGUUAUAAAAUAAUAGAUAAUUAAAAUAGGAGUCAGCUGUGUAUAGAGGUUAAUGAAGCCAUGAGAUGGUUAAGACAAUCAAUAUGUGACAUGAAAGAAAAAAGGCUAUCUUAGUCUGUUUUCUGUUACCUGAAUUCCAUAAACUGAGUAAUUUAUAAAGAAAAUAAAUGUAUUUAUUUCUUACAGUUCUAGAGGCUGAUAAGUCCAAGCAUAUGGUGCCAGCAUCUGGUGAGGCCUUCUUGCUGUGUAAUCUCAUGGCAGAAGAGUGGAAGGACAAGUGAGCACAUGCAAAAGGGAUUGUACAAGGUGCUGAGCUGGCUUUAUUACAACUUGCUCUUGAGAUAACUACCAACUCUGAUGAUAGGACCUUAAUCUAUUCAUAAGGGUGCUGCCUAUGAUUUGAUUACCUCUUAAAGGCCCCACAUCUUAAUACUUUUACAAUGGCAAUUAAAUGUCAACAUGAGUUUCAGUGGAGACAAACAUUCAAACCAUAGCAAAGGCUUAGAAUAGAAUCCUAGGAAUUCCAAAAUUGCCAGACAGAGAAAAAGAUGACAGCUACAGAAUCUGUGAAAUAUGUUCAUCAAAGUAAAAAGAAAUCCAGACAGUCAGUGACCUGUGAGCCAAUGGAAGAGAGAGACCACACAGGUGAGUGCCAAUGAGAGAUCAAAUGAGAUAUAGGUCAUAGUUACUUGUUCUAUUAAAUGACAUAGAAGAUAAAGGUGGCCUUAGCAAAAAUAGAAUUUCAAACUGUUAGGGAGGAAGCCAGACUGGAAUUAGAGAGGUAGCUGAAGAAUGACAGGGAAUGAGUAGAGAGGAACAGAGAGUAUAGGUUCUUUUGAAGAGCCAGGAAAGUUGGCAUGAAGAAGCUCAAUAUCUCUUUCUGUCUCUCAUUCUCACUCUGUGUGUGUAUGUGUGUGUGUGUGUGUGUGUGGUGGGGAGAAGGAAUAAGAGACAGAAAUCUUGAAACAUUAAAAUUAUCAUUAAAUGAUGGUGAGAAGGAAAGAAAUAUAAAAGUUAUGGUAAGAGAAAAAUAUGAGUAAUAUUUAACUCUUUCCAGAAAGGAUCCUCAAACCAAAGAACAUCCAUUUAGGCACUAUGGCUAGUGUUCAAACACACAAUAACCUCAAAAUAACACUUGCUGUCAAGCAGAAUUUGUAAAACUGAGCUGAAUAAUCAUGGAUUCAAAGGAAUUUAUUUCCUGACAUAUCAAAAUGGCCUUGUUUAAAUCAUGUAAUCGAGUCUAUAAUAAAAAUUUAAUCUUAAGGUUUUAUAGCUCAAAAAAAUCUGUAUUUUAAAUUUUUAGGCAGUUUCUUCUAAGGUGAACAAUGGUAUUUACCUUUUGGGUAGAACAUGACUUAUUUUUGGAAGUAUUGCUUGAGUAAUAUUAAGAAUUAGGAAAUAUCUACUUGCUGAUAUGAGAGUAUACAAAAAUGUUUGCUUGACAAGCUUCCGAGGGCUCUGUAAGAUUGUGGUGAUAUCAGAUAAUGCCCUUCCCAAAUGUGUCUGCUCAUCAAUGAAUUUACACACAUGCAUAACAGCUUCCUGGGAGCAGAAUGGCUUGUACCUGGUUCUGUCUCUGAGUGUUUCAAAGAUAUGGAAGCAUGUUUGAUGAAAGAUCAUGGAAUAGCAAAGAAAAAUAGCACCAAAAAGGCAAACAAGGCAGGGAAAGAUUCUAGACUAGUGAUUUGGGAUCAACACAGGACAGGAUGAUUAGAGAGAAUAGCUUCCUGUGCACACUAUGUAGUUUGAUGCAGAAGCCAUCCUGAUCCAGAUGCCCUGGUACUGUGGGGCGGGACCUUGGAAAAAUUACCCAGAGGAUGUGAAGUGAAAGUUUUGUUACACCAUUCUUCAGAGUGAAGGCAGUUUUCCUACAGAAACCUUCAAAAAAGGAGAUGCAUCCUUCCUUGUUCCUGGCAGUCUUGCAUUUGAGGAAAUCAGUAUGCUCCAACUUAGACUUAUCUUUUAGUCUCCAGAGGCAGAAAAAAAGCAGAAAAGGUUGUUGAAAUUCUUCACAUUGAUUUCAGGGCAAUGAUCUCAAACGGCGCAGUGGGAACCCGCAAAUUUAAGAGGGUAGUUUCCCUGCACAAGCCCUUUUUUUGCCUGCUGCCAUCCGUGUAAGAUGUGACUUGCUCCUCCUUGUCUUCUACCAUGAUUGUGAGGCCUCCCCAGUUAUGUGGAACUCAAAGCUAGAGGAAACCAAAGUCAUAGAACAUCUGAACUCUGUCCAAACAUCGGUCGUAUUUCAAAAUUUCAGACCGAGUCUCGUUCUGUAGUCCAGGCUGGAGUGCAGUGGCGGGAUCUCCACUCACUGCAAGCUCCACCUCCCAGGUUAAAGCCAUUCUCCUGCCUCAGCCUCCUGAGUAGCUGAGACUACAGGCACUCACCACCACACCCGGCUUAUUUUUUGUAUUUUUAGUAGAGACGGGGUUUCACCGUGUUAGCCAGGAUGGUCUCGAUCUCCUGACCUCGUGAUCUGCCUGCCUCGGCCUCCCAAAGUGCUGGUAUUACAGGCGUGAGCCACCACGCCAGGCCACAAUCUUUCAUUUUUAU
rnacentral:lncRNA from 1 species